UGUUUUUUGGUCUAGGAGUAUGAUUCUCGCUUCGGGUGCGAGAGGUCCCGGGUUCAAAUCCCGGAGAAGCCC
rnacentral:tRNA from 1 species